AGCCGCGGUAAUACGUAGGGUCCAAGCGCUGUCCGGAAUUAUUGGGCGUAAAGGGCUCGUAGGCGGCUUGUCGCGUCUGGUGUGAAAGCACGGGGCUUAGCCUCGUGUCUGCGCUGGAUACGGGCAGGCUUGAGUGCCACAAGGGGGAAUGGAAUUCCCGGUGUAACGGUGGAAUGUGUAGAUAUCGGGAAGAACACCGAUGGCGAAAGCAGUUCCCUGGGUGGUUACUGACGCUGAGGAGCGAAAGCGUAGGGAGCAAACAGGAUUAGAUACCCUGGUAGUCUACGCUGUAAACGGUGGACGCUGGAUGUGGGGCCCAUUCCACGGGUUCCGUGUCGGAGCUAACGCGUUAAGCGUCCCGCCUGGGGACUACGGCCGCAAGGUUAAAACUCAAAGAAAUUGACGGGGGCCCGCACAAGCGGCGGAGCAUGCGGUUUAAUUCGAUGCAACGCGAAGAACCUUACCUGGGCUUGACAUGUGGACGUUGGAUUCAGAGAUGGGUCUUCCCUUCGGGGCGUCUUCACAGGAGGUGCAUGGCC
rnacentral:rRNA from 1 species